rnacentral:tRNA from 1 species
GCGGGUGUAGUUCAAUGGCAGAACGGCAGCUUCCCAAGCUUUAGACAGGGGUUCGAUUCCCCUCACCCGCUCCA